ACUCAAAGGAAUUGACGGGGGCCCGCACAAGCGGUGGAGCAUGUGGUUCAAUUCGAAGCAACGCGAAGAACCUUACCAGCCCUUGACAUGUCCCGUAUGAGAACCAGAGAUGGAUCUCUUCAGUUCGGCUGGCGGGAACACAGGUGCUGCAUGGCUGUCGUCAGCUCGUGUCGUGAGAUGUUGGGUUAAGUCCCGCAACGAGCGCAACCCUCGCCCUUAGUUGCCAUCAUUCAGUUGGGCACUCUAAGGGGACUGCCGGUGAUAAGCCGCGAGGAAGGUGGGGAUGACGUCAAGUCCUCAUGGCCCCUACGGGCUGGGCUACACACGUGCUACAAUGGCGGUGACAAUGGGAUGCGAAGGGGCAACCCGGAGCUAAUCUCAAAAAGCCGUCUCAGUUCGGAUUGCACUCUGCAACUCGAGUGCAUGAAGUCGGAAUCGCUAGUAAUCGUGGAUCAGCAUGCCACGGUGAAUACGUUCCCGGGCCUUGCACACACCGCCCGU
rnacentral:rRNA from 1 species